GUUUCCGUAGGUGAACCUGCGGAAGGAUCAUUAUCGAGUUCUGAAAGGGGUUGUAGCUGGCCUUCCGAGGCACUGUGCACGCCCUGCUCAUCCACUCUACACCUGUGCACUUACUGUGGGUUCCGGGUUUGCGUCGCUUAACUGAGAUGCUUACCGGGCCUGCGUUUUUACUACAAACCAUUGAAGUAUCAGAAUGUACAAUUGAUGUAACGCAUCUAUAAUACAACUUUCAGCAACGGAUCUCUUGGCUCUCGCAUCGAUGAAGAACGCAGCGAAAUGCGAUAAGUAAUGUGAAUUGCAGAAUUCAGUGAAUCAUCGAAUCUUUGAACGCACCUUGCGCUCCUUGGUAUUCCGAGGAGCAUGCCUGUUUGAGUGUCAUGAUAUUCUCAACUUGCAAGUUCUUUGCGGGACUUUGCAUGGUUGGACUUGGAGGCUUGCUGGUGUUCAUGUAAACUCAGCUCCUCUCAAAUGCAUUAGCUUGGUUUCUAGCGGAUCGGCUGUCGGCGUGAUAAUUGUCUACGCUGCGACCGUGAAGUGUUAUGGCAAGCUUAUAGCCGUCUCUAGCAGGGACAUCUAUGAUUGACCUCUGACCUCAAAUCAGGUAGGACUACCCGCUGAACUUAAGCAUAUCAAUAAGCGGAGGAAAAGAAACUAACAAGGAUUCCCCUAGUAACUGCGAGUG
rnacentral:rRNA from 1 species